GGCGUAAGAGCUCGUAGGCGGCUUGUCACGUCGGAUGUGAAAGCCCGGGGCUUAACCCCGGGUCUGCAUUCGAUACGGGCUAGCUAGAGUGUGGUAGGGGAGAUCGGAAUUCCUGGUGUAGCGGUGAAAUGCGCAGAUAUCAGGAGGAACACCGGUGGCGAAGGCGGAUCUCUGGGCCAUUACUGACGCUGAGGAGCGAAAGCGUGGGGAGCGAACAGGAUUAGAUACCCUGGUAGUCCACGCCGUAAACGUUGGGAACUAGGUGUUGGCGACAUUCCACGUCGUCGGUGCCGCAUCUAACGCAUUAAGUUCCCCGCCUGGGGAGUACGGCCGCAAGG
rnacentral:rRNA from 1 species